rnacentral:tRNA from 1 species
GGCGAAAUCGGUAGACGNUACNGACUUAANUGUAUAAAAUCCGUCGAUUUCAAAAAUCGUGAGGGUUCAAGUCCCUCUAUCCCCA